rnacentral:rRNA from 1 species
AUUGAACGCUGGCGGCAGGCCUAACACAUGCAAGUCGAACGGUAACAGGAAGAAGCUUGCUUCUUUGCUGACGAGUGGCGGACGGGUGAGUAAUGUCUUGGAAACUGCCUGAUGGAGGGGGAUAACUACUGGAAACGGUAGCUAAUACCGCAUACCGUCGCAAGCCCAAAGAGGGGGACUUUCGGGCCUCUUGCCAUCGGAUGUGCCCAGAUGGGAUUAGCUAGUAGGUGGGGUAACGGCUCACCUAGGCGACGAUCCCUAGCUGGUCUGAGAGGAUGACCAGCCACACUGGAACUGAGACACGGUCCAGACUCCUACGGGAGGCAGCAGUGGGGAAUAUUGCACAAUGGGCGCAAGCCUGAUGCAGCCAUGCCGCGUGUAUGAAGAAGGCCUUCGGGUUGUAAAGUACUUUCAGCGGGGAGGAAGGGAGUAAAGUUAAUACCUUUGCUCAUUGACGUUACCCGCAGAAGAAGCACCGGCUAACUCCGUG